rnacentral:rRNA from 1 species
AUGCAAGUCGAACGGAAACAUGUCUAGCUUGCUAGAUGAUGUCGAGUGGCGGACGGGUGAGUAAUGCUUGGGAACUUGCCUUUGCGAGGGGGAUAACAGUUGGAAACGACUGCUAAUACCGCAUAAUGUCUUCGGACCAAACGGGGCUUCGGCUCCGGCGCAAAGAGAGGCCCAAGUGAGAUUAGCUAGUUGGUGAGGUAAAGGCUCACCAAGGCAACGAUCUCUAGCUGUUCUGAGAGGAAGAUCAGCCACACUGGGACUGAGACACGGCCCAGACUCCUACGGGAGGCAGCAGUGGGGAAUAUUGCACAAUGGGGGAAACCCUGAUGCAGCCAUGCCGCGUGUGUGAAGAAGGCCUUCGGGUUGUAAAGCACUUUCAGUUGUGAGGAAAAGUUAGUAGUUAAUACCUGCUAGCCGUGACGUUAACAACAGAAGAAGCACCGGCUAACUCCGUGCCAGCAGCCGCGGUAAUACGGAGGGUGCGAGCGUUAAUCGGAAUUACUGGGCGUAAAGCGCACGCAGGCGGUUUGUUA